rnacentral:rRNA from 1 species
GACAGGCCUAACACAUGCAAGUCGAGGGGUAGCACAGAAUCGCUUGCUAUUUGGGUGACGACCGGCGCACGGGUGAGUAACGCGUAUGCAACCUGCCUAUAAGAGGGGGAUAGCCUUUCGAAAGAAAGAUUAAUACCGCAUAAUACCAAUUUGCUGCAUGGUAGAUUGGUUAAACUAUUUGGCUUAUAGAUGGGCAUGCGUUCCAUUAGAUAGUUGGUGAGGUAACGGCUCACCAAGUCAGCGAUGGAUAGGGGUUCUGAGAGGAAGGUCCCCCACACUGGUACUGAGACACGGACCAGACUCCUACGGGAGGCAGCAGUGAGGAAUAUUGGUCAAUGGGCGAGAGCCUGAACCAGCCAAGUCGCGUGAAGGAUGAAGGUCUUAUGGAUUGUAAACUUCUUUUAUAAGGGAAUAAAAAAGAUCACGUGUGGUUUAUUGCAUGUACCUUAUGAAUAAGCAUCGGCUAACUCCGUGCCAGCAGCCGCGGUAAUACGGAGGAUGCGAGCGUUAUCCGGAUUUAUUGGGUUUAAAGGGUGCGUAGGCGGUUUAUUAAGUCAGUGGUGAAAGUUUUCGGCUCAACCGGAAAAUUGCCAUUGAAACUGAUAGACUUGAGUGUAAACGAGGUAGGCGGAAUUCGUGGUGUAGCGGUGAAAUGCUUAGAUAUCACGAAGAACUCCAAUUGCGAAGGCAGCUUACUAGGCUACAACUGACGCUGAAGCACGAAAGCGUGGGGAUCAAACAGGAUUAGAUACCCUGGUAGUCCACGCAGUAAACGAUGAUAACUAGCUGUUUGCGAUACACAGUAAGCGGCACAGCGAAAGCGUUAAGUUAUCCAC